rnacentral:rRNA from 1 species
GAUGAACGCUGGCGGCGUGCUUAACACAUGCAAGUCGAACGGAAAGGCCCUGCUUUUGUUGGUUGCUCGAGUGGCGCACGGGUGAGUAACACGUGAGUAUCCUCCCCUUAACUUUCGGAUAACUUCACGGAACUCGGGCUAAUACCGGAUAUGAGCUCCUGCUGCAUGGUGGGGGUUGGAAAGUUUCGGCGUUUGGGGAUCGACUCGCGGCUUAUCCGCUUGUUGGUGGGGUAGUUGCUUUCCAAGGCUUUGACGGCUAGCCGGCCUGAGAGGGUGAACGGGCACAAUGGGACUGAGAUACGGACCAGACUGCUACGGGAGGCAGCAGUGGGGAAUAUUGCACAAUGGGCGGAAGUCUGAGGCAGAAAUGCCGCGUGCGUGAUGACGUGCUUCGGGUUGUAAACCGCUGUCGCCUGUGACGAAGCGUGAGUGACGGUAAUUGGUAAGGAAGCAACGGCUAACUACGUG